rnacentral:tRNA from 1 species
GGAUAAGUGGCGAAAUCGGAAGACGCUUAGUUUCUGUGGUACAUAAAUCAAUCAUUAUGAAAGUUGAAAUCCCCGACUAUU